GGAUGCCGAUCAUACCAGCACUAAAGCACCGGAUCCCAUCAGAACUCCGAAGUUAAGCGUAGUACUAGGAUGGGUGACCUCCUGGGAAGUCCUCGUGUUGCAUUCC
rnacentral:rRNA from 1 species